UACGAAGGGGGCUAGCGUUGCUCGGAAUUACUGGGCGUAAAGGGAGCGUAGGCGGAUAGUCCAGUCAGAGGUGAAAGCCCAGGGCUCAACCUUGGAAUUGCCUUUGAUACUGGCUGUCUUGAGUAUGGGAGAGGUUAGCGGAACUCCGAGUGUAGAGGUGAAAUUCGUAGAUAUUCGGAAGAACACCAGUGGCGAAGGCGGCUAACUGGCCCAUUACUGACGCUGAGGCUCGAAAGCGUGGGGAGCAAACAGG
rnacentral:rRNA from 1 species